CUGGCUUAGGAGCUCAGACUUUAAAUUCUGCAGACUAACCUUUGCCAGCUAAACAUAUAGAUCCACCAGCCCUACACUUAAACCUAAUCCUAAAGUCCAAAAGGGGCAUACACCCCCAUAAAUAGGCAAAUUCCAAGAGGGGUAGUCACCCCCAUAAACCCUAGGCAACUUCCAAGGGGGGCAUACACCCCCACAAACCCUAGGCAUUCCCCGAUUAACUUUUGAUAUUCUGAGAGGGGUAGGAUUCAACAAGGGCAAGUGUGGGACCUGGUUAAUGAAGGCGUGGGCCAGAUCAAAGUGGCAGGGUGAUGUGAAACAGAAUCUCAAGUGAGGAGAUCAGAAAUCACAAGAGGGCUUUUUAGCCCACUGCCCGCAUAAUUUCAACCUAACCUAUCAGUGACACGCUCUUCAUUCUCCCGGACCCAGAAAGGCCAAUAAGAAAACCCAGAUAUUUUAUUUCACCUAUUAGGUGUUAAAAAAUUCAUAGUUAAAAGAAUGGAGAGGUUCACCAGUCAGCAGCUAAUGUACCUUUAAGGGCUGAGGUGAGCCGGUCUCCUAGCAACAGCCAGGUUUGCAGUAGGUGGACAAUUAGGUUUUAGUAUCACAUUAGUUAAAAGAGGCCCUGCGGGGGGAAGAAGGUGAGGGACGUUUUAACUGGAUAGCAGUACUGUCUGGGUUUAGAGACUCCACAGAAGACCCGAGUGACGGACGAGAGUCGAGUUGGACCUUCCGGUCGGGAAUCACGCUUUUUUGAAGGCAAUUGGUUGGAGUCGAAAUCGCAGACGCAAGAUAAGCAGUGAAAUUUCUGACUGUCCGGAGCACUCCAGAAACAGUGAGUGUGCUGUUAUCGGCACUCAGCUCAAACCUGCCACCGGGAAUGAUCACGCUGUUCUCCUCAAGCCACAGUGACCUUCAACGCGCCAUGUUGGUUCCAAAUAGGAAAGUGUGUUAGAGUUUGCCGCAGGCAUAUCAUCUCCGCUUACUGCCCCGGAUCCGGUCUCCGCUGCUGCUAUUAGACCCCCG